rnacentral:rRNA from 1 species
AGAGUUUGAUAUGGCUCAGGACGAACGCUGGCGGCGGGCUUAACACAUGCAAGUUGAAGGAGAAGCCCUGACUUCGGUUGGGGUGGAGACUGGCGCACGGGUGAGUAACGCGUAGACAACCUGCCUGGACCUGGGGGAUAACUCCGCGAAAGCGGGGCUAAUACCGCAUAAUGCAGCGGGGCCGCAUGGCCACAGUUGUUAAAGGUUUAGACCGGGUGCAGAUGGGUCUGCGUGCUAUUAGUUAGUUGGUAGGGUAACGGCCUACCAAGGCGAUGAUAGCUAGGGGGUCUGAGAGGAUGAUCCCCCACACUGGGACUGAGACACGGCCCAGACUCCUACGGGAGGCAGCAGUGAGGAAUCUUGCGCAAUGGAGGAAACUCUGACGCAGCCACGCCGCGUGCCGGAAGACGGCCCUAUGGGUUGUAAACGGCUUUUGGUCGGGAAGAAUCUGGGCCUUUCGAGGUCCACUGACGGUACCGAUUGAAUAAGCACCGGCUAACUCCGUGCCAGCAGCCGCGGUAAUACGGAGGGUGCAAGCGUUGUCCGGAAUCAUUGGGUGUAAAGGGUGCGCAGGCUGGCGCCUAAGUCGGAGGUGAAAUCUUACCGCUUAACGGUAAAAUGGCCCCCGAUACUGGGCGUCUUGAAUCUGACAGAGGUCGGUGGAAUUCGUGGUGUAGCGGUGAAAUGCAUAGAUAUCACGAAGAACAUCAGUGGCGAAGGCGGCCGGCUGGGUCAGUAUUGACGCUGAGCACGAGAGCGUGGGGAGCGAACAGGAUUAGAUACCCUGGUAGUCCACGCUGUAAACGAUGUAUGCUAGUUGUAGGGCCUAUGGGUUUCUGUGACGCAGUUACCGCAGUAAGCAUACC